CCAAGCAAAAUGGAUGUGGCGGAGAAGUUUAUUCAAGACAAUCCAUAGUAAGGCUUAACACACCAAUAUACACAUGAAGAAGAACUUCUUCGCAUCACGGAACAGAUGCAACCAGACGUAGAAAACCUAUUACUAGCAUUCGGGAUCGACAUUGCCACAAUAGGAGCCACAAGAGCGCCCACUCAUCCAACUUCUGAUGUAACGCAACCCGAUCCUGCACAUACAAAAACAAGAGCCAAUAUCAGUCAAGAGAUGAUGUAACUCAUGAAGGACCAAAUUGCAUUUGAGGAAAGUCACACCCUGAUAGAAUACUUGAGGAAAAAUCCUGGCCCAAGCAUACUCCACGAGUGGGCCACAAGAGUUCUACACAACUCCUACACCUCAACAACGAUGCUUGGGGGAGGUUACUUCAAAAUAUAAUUUAUGAGCAAACAAGGAAAACUACACAUGCUAUCUAAACCAUAUCAAUUCAACAACGAAGAUAUAUUAUUUUCCACCUGGAGAGCCGACUUCGACCUGGAAUCGGAAACCGACACGCACCAAACCUCCUCCCAAAUCUGGGCACAACUCCGAGGCUUAAGAAGGAUUUUUCGCACAACACAGUUUCUCACAGAAGCCUUUUCCACUAUCGAAGAAGUCAUAGCCGUUGACUCCACCAAAUCUUACCAAAACAAAGCUUCUGGUUCUAAGGUUCAGUUACCAGUCUAGGAUGUAGUCAACCUCCCACAUACUUCAGUUCUUCCCAAGAGGUGAACAUGAAUACCGAAUUGACUACAGUGUACUAUCCUCCUAGUGCAAUAGAUGUAGAAGUACUACACACCACGCUAAACACUGUACACUACCGUGGAGAGAAGAGCGCAAGAGAUCCAGAUAGAAAACCCCAACCUUGGAAAACUCGGUAACCGACAACCUCACCCAACACAGACAGACCAAUGGUGAAGAGAAAACAUUGAAAAAUGUAGGACCUAGGAAGAAGAACAGUGCAACUCUUCUACGCACCAAAUACAUCUGGGUAGAAAAGAAACCAACAAAAUCCACAGACACACAUGAAGGACCAGAAAAACCAUCUGAAUCAAUCAUAUACAACUCACCACAUACAAUUGAGCUUUUGGAGAGCUCUGGGAUCAGAACCGCCUUGCAAAGGAACAACUUAUGAGCAAAUUACAGUAGCUUUAGUUUGGUCAUCUCAAAACAACUUCCUUGAAACCCUGGUUUGCAAAGCUAGCGACACUCUGCUGUGCACAACACAACUGACUCACGUCCCAAAGGAGAAGGAUUGGUCAUCAUCAAUCGCUCAAACGCAUAUGGUUAACACCACAAUGCAAAAGCUCCAAACACAGAUAACCAAUAGAGGAAAUGGCCCCAACUUGCUCCGCACCUAGUCAGACGCAAUAUGGGUUUCAGAAUAGCUCAACUAAAAAUCUACUCACACAAACAAUUGGAUUACUAUCUUGCCAUACGACAAAAGCACCACAGCGAUCAAACAUCAAUAAACAAAGCACUGGAAGCAGAUACCAUCAUCAACAUCCCCCCCACAAGCUCUCAUACUAGAAAGGGUAAAGGAGAUAUCAUAUGGCCAAUGGUGUCAGACAAUCAUCCAUCUCCAAGAUUAACACACCCAGGAUGUGAACUCCUCUCCUCUAACUCACUUUGAGCAGAAACUCGGAGAGAACAACACAUCUAUUAUACAUGAAUGAUGGCCUAACAAUGGCCACAUACAACAUCCAGUGCUUAGGCGAAGGACUGGAUGGCGUCAGAAAAUGCUGUAAGCUUCGAAACUUAAUGCAAAAGACCUAUCUCAAACCCAACCUUAUAUUAUUACAAGAACAUCAAUUCAACCAUACUAACUGUACCAAACAAGCUACACAACUAGAUUUUCUACAAGGUACAAUGCUUUGGAACACCGUAGUGUACUCAGCACAAAAAGUGGCUUAGUUGGUGGAACAGCUAUUUUGGUAUCCAACAAACUCACCGAUAACCUAAAAGAACAUGGAGUGAUAGUCUGAGGAAGAGCGCAACGCUCCAUUUUCAAAAUCAGCCCCACAGUUCAAAUAGGCAUUCUAAAUGUCUAUGGUUACAGCCACACAGAACCCCGUGCAAGACUAUGGCAGAAAAUAGCAGACCACCCUUUACCAGAAGCCCUCUGGAUCAUGGGGGGCGAUUCUAAUUUUAUUGAGUCCCUCGAAGACAAGCAGGGUGGGAAUGCCAAUUUAAGACAAGGAACACAAGAAAUGACAGCAUGGAAUAACAUGCUCAUUAAACUAUAAGUUCAAGACAGUUUCCACAUGGGAGAAUUCUGCAAGAUUACCAAUAAACGCUUCACCUGGGAUAACAGAAGCCCAGCCCCGAAGACAGUACUCACCAAGCUAGAUAGAAUAUACAUUGGAGACAAACUCCAAGACUGAGGUGGACUAUGUGGAAUCUGGACAGCACAACCAAUCAUUUCGUAUUACACCCCUGCUUUCAUAAGAUUGAAACCUGCAUGCCGACCUCUACCCUAGAUGCAGUUCUUUGACAAACGACAACUAGAAUCAGUUGAAGGCAGACAACAUGUCACAGGAGCUUGAAAACAGGCCAUAUAAAACACUACAUAAACCAAAUGGAGCGAUAAAAUUGGCCUUACAAGCAGUAUGCAACACGAACCUAAAUAUUGCAAAAAAGAACAGACAGACUUGGAAAAAAUAGUACAAGAAUCAACUAAACCAGACACUCAAUGCCAAACUCCUCGUUCAAGAUAACUGAAAUGACCCAACGACGAGGGACACACUCAACACAACACAGCUAUAAUUACAAAAAAAUUGAUACAACAGGCUAGAAAAACAAUUCACAUUCCUUACAGUCAAAUGGACAAGAGUGAGAGACCGUUGCAACUCUGAGUUCUUUCAACACUACAGAGCUCGUCACUGCAAAGUCCGCAUCAAAGAAUCCAAUGAUAAGGACCGCAUUCAAAAGUUCCAGAAGCACAUGGCGCUUUAUGCACAAAGAUAUUACCAACAACUCUACACCCCAAACUCCACCGUUGAAUGCAAUGUAGACUCCGAAAGAGACACCUUAGCAAGCACUCCUAUAGUAGUCACAGAGGAUCACAACCGAGAGUUAGAACGCCCUAUAACUGCUGAAGAGAUUACAGCGGCAACGAAGAGUCUUCCUAGAAGCAAAGCCCCCAGACUGGACAAGGUACCGACCGAAUUUUUCCAAGAAUGUUGGAGGGAAAUUGGCCCCGACAUGGUGGAACUCAUCAAAGAGGUUCUCUCACAAGAAACAUUGCCCAAUAAAUUCAACACCAGCAAUGUAGUACUCAUCCCA
rnacentral:lncRNA from 1 species